rnacentral:misc_RNA from 1 species
UUGUGCUAUUGUGGUUCGACUCGGACGACACUGAUAAGUCGGGGUUUGAUGGGCGUCGGACGGGCACGGGACGCCGGGGCGACAGGCCCGCCAAAGCAACAAAGGUACGUAAACAUGGGGUGAAGAGUGGGGGGCCGAAGCCCCCGGGGUCCGGAAACCCCUCUCAGUAAUGAUCCUUCCGCAGGUUCACCUACGGAAA